UUGAACUAAAAUCAUAUCGAAUCGAAUUAAAACCGAAGAACCUAGAACUAUACUAAACUGAAACUGAAAUAAUAAAGAAUCGAAUCCAAACUGUACCUAAAUUUUAAAAUUUCAGUUUAGUUCUAAUUUCUAGAUAAAUUCCAAACUGAAUUAAAACUGAACACCCCUAAUUUCAAGGGCGCAAAGAAUCAGGCUGUAUUGUUAAAAAGAAUAAUAAUAAUAAUAAUAAUAAUAAUAAUAACCUUCCAUCGACUAUUCAUGAGCAAGGAAGAUUAAUGGUUGUCGCAGAAAAACAAUUUUAAUUAGCUCCGGGGAUAUAAGUUGCCAAGGGAAUUGAAUUAUAAUCGUGUAUCAUUUGAGGGUGAUACCAAGACCAAUGGCCAGAGUACAGCGGAAACGAUGUCCAAAUCAUGAGGAUACCAGACCACUCAACAAUGAUUUUUCUCAUCUUCAAUUUUUAUUUGGCUCGGCUCAUAUACGAACCGUGUUAAGCAUGAAAAUAAUACCAUCUCUCUCUAAGAAAGCUCUCACCUCUUUCCAAACAGCCUUUGUUUUUAGAGUAGUCCAGGGGAGUUCCGGCCAUUUUGGCCGUCGAUCCUCCCCCACCCCUUUGUUCAGUUUGCUUUUAUUUGGUUUUUUUAGUUUUCUUCCUGUAGUUUUGUUUAGUUUUCUCAGCCUCUUGUUUUGGAGCCUCAGUGCCUUUCUUCAAUGGGGAUUUAGUUACGUUAUGGGGGUUGCUCCUCUGAUGCUUAUUGUGAUGCUGCUAGAAGCAGUUUGGCUGGCAAGAUUGGAAGUUCAGCACUGAUGAGGUCAUCUCUUCAGUCAGGAAUUCGCAUGCAAGGUCUUGGAUGUGCCAAACGUUUUUCCGAUCCGUCCGGCAUGGUCCAGGUUUUCACUUCUGCCAAGCUUCUCUCCUUCUAAAGGACGCUAAAGUGAUGCCAGUGAAGGAGGCUUUCAAGUCAACUGCUGCUGAAAUUGCUAAUCGGAUCUUACCCGUUCAGCCUAGAGUUCCAUAUUUAUUAGGUUUAAGCCCUCUUUCCCUGUACUUGAGUUAGGUGAGAGUAGUUUGUAGCUAUUUCUUUUAUUGUCUUGGGCCUCAUAAACAUAUUUCACCUGAUGAAACACCUUUUCUGGUAAAAAAAAAAAAAGUCUACAGAUCCAGUCACUUCAGUUUUUGAGUAGUGUUCUAAACUUCUAAUAAGAACGCACCCAGCCGUGCUAUCUUUGUGUUUUC